rnacentral:rRNA from 1 species
UACGGAGGAUCCGAGCGUUAUCCGGAUUUAUUGGGUUUAAAGGGUGCGUAGGCGGCCUAUUAAGUCAGGGGUGAAAGACGGUAGCUUAACUAUCGCAGUGCCUUUGAUACUGAUAGGCUUGAAUAUACUUGAGGUAGGCGGAAUGUGACAAGUAGCGGUGAAAUGCAUAGAUAUGUCACAGAACACCAAUUGCGAAGGCAGCUUACUAAAGUAUGAUUGACGCUGAGGCACGAAAGCUAGGGGAGCAAACAGG